GAGACAAACAGGCAGUCCCACCCAUGGAUCUGAUUGAUUCUCCCCACCUGGACUUUACUUUAUAGAAGAGUAAAGUAUGAAGCUUUGAUGGAGGAGAGAGAAUAGAGACUGCAAUUCAGCAUAGAGAUUUAAAUCAGUUGGUUUUUAGAGAGAGACGUAUAGAGAUGAAGAAAGUGGAGGUGUUCUUUUUGGUGGCUCUGGUAAUACUGUCUGUUCAAACAAUGGGGAGAGCGGAUGAGCCUAUUUGGUGCUAUGAUGCCUGUACCACUGCCUGUGUUCAGAAGAAUCAACGCCUACAAGCUCGCUGCGAGCGCAAGUGUGAAAUCAAAUGCGGCCCCGGUGCUCGUGGUUGAUGAAGGCCUUUUACAUAUCAAUAAUAAUAACAAUAAUCAUUAACUUUUUUUUCUUUUUUAUCUCUUUGUAUUUCAACUUUCUUUGGAUGCGGAAAUCGGUUUUGGUUUCCGGUUAGGGUGUAUGGAGAAAGAAGCACCUGUAAGAAUGGAUUAUGGUUGUGUUAGUCGGAUCGAUUUUGGUUCUU